GUGCCGGAGCCAGGCUUUACCAUCCAAAGCGACGGCCUCAAGGACCUCAGAAGGAGGACACGUGAGCUACUAUGUCAUGUUGCUUUAAAGCACCCGCCCAAGAUGCUAUGAAGAGCUCAUUUUUUCGCCUCUCGGAGAUUCUAAGUGCUUCGCCCCUCCGAACGCGCUUAAGACAAGUGUCCAUUUAAAAGAACACGAGUCACUCGGAAUCACAGCCGUAGAGUGGAGAGACCUAGAUUCGAUUCUCAGUUCUCGCCUGAUUCGCUGUGUGACCUCAGGAAAAACGCCUCUGCUCCGUGGGCCAGUUUCCCCAUUGGUAAUACGAGGGAGUGUGACGCAACAUGUCCUCAGGACCCUUCAGUCUUGAGAAGCUAUCAAAUUGUCUGAAAGAAGGAGGAGGCAAUACUGGGGUCCGGCCACCAGAGGCCGUCCGUACUCAGUUUCUGCGGUCCAAAGUCCCAGGCUGGUGUUAAGACCUUUCCUCUACCUGGCUUCCCAGCCUGCAGUUGACCUCAUCAGCUGGAUUGCAAGAUUCAAGAACCUUCUAUCACCUCUCCUGUGUAGUACCUUAUCAUCAUCUGACGCUGAACUUGUUUGGUUAUUGUCUUCUACCUAUGAAUGUCAGCUCCAGGGGACAGACGUGACUGUGUUGCAACACCCAGCACAAGACCCACACAAAGUGAGGGUGAAUAAAUAAAUAAAUAUUUGCUGAAUAAAUAGACAAAUCAUUACAAUAUUUCUCAUAAAUUGUAAUGGGGUCUGUGAUGGGCAGGACUGGUUCUCAACUGGAGAAAAGGGCAGGGUUUAGGUUUAUCAGGUCCUGCUCUCAGGACUAUGAGCUUGGGACCAUGAGUGGGGCACAGAUAGAAAAGGAAGAGCACUUUGUGUGUAGGUUACACACUUCACAGAGGGCUUGUAAUAUACAGAACAGAAGUGUGAGGAAUAGGGGCAAGCUGGUGCAGUCUGGAGUAAGGCUGUCUUAUUAGGCCACCAAUGAAGGGAAUAUCCCUGAGGAUUGGUGUCAAGGAGCCAUAUUGUUCCAUCCUAGGGUUGAAAUGAGCCAAGAGAUUCUGGGGGUAUGACCCAAGGUACAGCUGUUGUGAAAGUGACCUCUGCAUGGUGCCCUCCCUGGAAGUCCACAGCAGUUCAUUUGUACAUUCUAUGAAAUUGGUGUGGUUGGCUUUCUCUAAAGGCAGACAACAUCCCAGAGUGAGGAGAGGUCCAAUGGGGCCAUAAACCUUCAGUCUCACUCAGCUCUCCUCCAUCCAAUAGCAGUGGCCAUUUUGAUAAAAUAAAAGUCCUUGCUGAUAGGGACACUGGGGAGUCUCUCUGGAUAGCAUCUAGCUUAGGCCUGUCCUUCCACAUGGUAAAGAGUGGGUGGCUUGACUGGAGCUGCCUGCAACUCCUGGACCAGUUUUUAGGAACUGUGUGAACACAGAGCUCGUCAGUAACCACUCAAGUCAGAUGGGGAAGCCUCAGGUUGCCUAGUCCUUCUACCACAUCUUAUGAGUCUGGCCCAUGUUCUCCUUCCUGUACCUCUGAGGAGUCCAGCUAGAGAUGCCAGGUCUCUUUCACAAUGCCCUGGAGAGGGGAGGGAGUGAGGGCAGCCCAUCUGGGAUAUGAGAACAAAUUCCACAAAACUCAAGCCUCCUCCCUUACCUUGGCCCUGCGCACAUGGGUUGAGAGCAGAGUGUAAAAAUAUAUAAACUCAAAGCUAAGGACUUGCAGGAAACAAGCAGAUGGAGCUUCAAAGCAGUAGUUUGCAGCCCUGGAUGCUAUUCAGAACCUUUGCAGGGGGAGACAGGACAUUGCUGUUUUUAAAAACUUUUCCAGGCGAAUCCAGUGGACAGCCAAAGCAGAGAACCAUGACUCUAGACCAAAACAACCCUCUGGGAUAAUAUAAAUAUUUAUUUGCACUGUCCAAUAUGGUUGCCACUGGUCACAUGUGAUUAUAGGACACUUGAAAUGUGUCUAGUAUAGCUGAGGAAGUGAAUUUUCCAUUUUGUUUCAUCUUAAUUCAUUUAAUUGUAGGUAUGGCUAAUGGAUACUGUAUUGGCUAGUAUAGUUCAGAAUCCGGUCUGGCUCUGUGGUGUUUGGCAAGUCACUGAGCCUCUUAAAUUUCAGUCUUCUGGUGAAGACACAAGGGGCUACAGCAACUUUUUAUUCCUGUACCCACUGCCCCGCUGAAGGGAGUUUGGAGACACUAGCUUAACCCCAGGGACCUCGGGCAAGACACAAGGAUACCAGCCACAGCUCCUUGGGGCCAUCAGGGCUUUGCUGGCUGUCCCCAGAACAUUUGGGGUGGGACAAUAAGGCCAGAAAAGUUCCUUCCUACAUGGAACCUUGAAUUGUAAUGCAGAGAACAAUCCUGAAGCCAGGCUGUGAGCAGUAAACUAACUGACAGCUUCCAUUAACUGCAGUUAGUGUACACCAAGUGUGCAUGAAGUCUUAAUCACAACCCAGGAGUGGUGAAGCGUUAUGCCCAUUUUAAAGAUGGAGAAACUGAGGCACAGAAUUAGUAAGGAACCAGGAUUAGAAUCCAUCUGUCUGCAAGCCUGAACCCCUUAAUCCUAAUGCAUCCAGGGAGAAAGGACUAAGAAGCCGGAAGCCAUUCAGGCCCUCAAGACUUGUCCCUGCAGCAGAGAUGGAGGCCAAGACUGGACCAAAGUAGCUAAUCCCACAUUAGAAAAUCCUUUGUUUUCUGUUGAGAGCCACAGUUUAGUUGGAUUGACGCCUGGCAUUUUGCUAGAGGGAAUGGUUGAACGGUGACCCUGCUCCAGGACUAGGGCGGAUCCUGCUGGGAUUAGGGAGGAUCCUGCUGCCUUGGGAGCCCCCUACUUUUGAGUUCCUGUUGAGUUCUUGCGCAGGGUUCUGGGAGAAUAGGCACGUGGAGGCCAGUGGAGGGAGUGUGUUCCCGGGAAGUGUGUGUAGAGUGCUGGUGAGGGUUCGGGAAUAAAGAGUUACUGUUUGAACCUA